ensembl:lncRNA
GCUACAUAGGGCUGUUCUGAUUACAGCUGAACCUCCAGAGGAGCCGUGUAAGCUGGACCUCUGAAAGAAAGCUGUCAUAGGAAAUGAAAGAUUCCUUAGCUACACGAAGAGGAAAAAGGAGGCACAGCACAAAUGAGGGGAGAGAGAACCCCUCACUGGGACCACCUGAUGUUGGUGCAUUGCCAAUGUCAGCCAAGGGUCUCUACUCACUCACAAGGAGGAGGUGGAAUACUGGAGCAAGGUUAAAAGCUGGAGGAGUGGAGAUCAAAGCUUCACAGCUACUCUUAGUAAGUAGGAAGAGGAAGGGAGACUACAUGAAUGAACCAGCAGAGAAAGCAUAAUCUCCUUGGAAGCGAAUUGUAACAACCAAUUUAGAAAACAUCUGAUUUAGAUGGCCAGUUCUACUAGAUUAGAGGUAAUUUCUCCCAUGUCAGUUCUGAUGGUAGGAGGAAGAAAUCAGAAACUAUAUGGACACUUUGUUUUAGUGCUUAAUAGAGGAGACAAUGAAGAUCAGGCUAACAGGAGAACACAAAAUGAAGCUUACUUAGAGGAAAUGAAAACAGAAAAAGAAUGUGUGUAAAUGCUAGGUUACAGCCUAAGCUCAAUUUCGAGGUAGUUGUAGCAGAAAUGCUCAGUCAUGGCCCGAACCAGUGAUUGAGCACCUGGUGGGAAGGCAGGGCCAACCCAGGGCAGCUCAGGUGCAUGCAAUGCAUUGAGUGACUGGAAGGGGUGGAGCCAGGAUCCAUCCCUUCCGAGACCACAUUUAAGGGUUGGCAGUGGAGGUGAGGGGAUCUCACUGGAGAUCCCUCUGUACCUGAGGCCUUCCCAAGCCACGUGUUUGUGAAGCCAGAGGAACACUGGGAUUUGCUGACUUGAACCAUUGAAGUUACAGUCUCUGUGGAGCUUUUAAUACUGCUGAGGAAGCAAAGUCACCAUGAUUUCCCAAGCAGAGAUGACAGGAUGGAGCAGAGCUGCAAGCUGCUGAUGGGGGGACAUGCUCAGGCACACUGCUUUCAUGGGACCUGCCAGUGGUCACUGAACCACAGCUGAGCUGGGAAUAGAGCCUUUCGGUCUUCUUGUCAUCCUCUGGUGCCUAACAGGAGCUGAGGAUGAAUAUGAGACCUCUGUUUUUCCUGUAUUCACAGGCAAUAGCAAGAUUGUCUUCAUCUGAAUGUGGUGAAUCUUCAGGAAGUGGAGGAUUUUUUGUGUCAACCCUCUAUAUGGGCCAACAUCAGGAUUUGGGCAAAAGGAAAGAUAUUUGAAUGCAGUUCCCUAGAAAGCCCCAUCAGUCCAUGUCAUUAAAGUGCAGCCAGUGCAAUAGCAUCUAACUUUUUUUUUUCCCCCUUGCACAAAAGCCUUUGCUUUACUAUUGCUUUUAAAGCUACCACUGAAAUGGCUCAAUGUGAAAUUUUCCAUUGCAGAACAUCUGCUUCAAAAUAGUUUCCUUUGAAGUUUCAGCUAGAACAGUUCAAUUCCCAAGUGAAGAAGGCAUCUUUUUGCUCAAGUGAGGGAGGGGGGAGAAACAAACUUCUUCGUUCUAAAGAAAAACCUUGAAAAUAUAUUUUCUUAAAAUAGGAAUAUAAUGUUUGACAGAACAAUUGCUCUGUGCUCGAAGAUAACACUUGGCCCAUCAACAUGAAAACCAAAAACCUAUGUAAAUAUGGUCAAGUUAUAAACUUCAGGAAAACCCACCGAAAAACAGACUGAAAUUUACCAGUGUUUGGCAGCUCAUGCUUUCAAGCGAUGAGCAUGCUCUGUGAUCCCCUUGCUGCUCUUGUAUGUGCAACUGCUUCUGAUUUGCACAUCAGCUGAGCUGGUAUUUCUUGCGCAGGCUGUUACGAACAACUGUGGCACUGUAGGACAGGGGGACGGUAUCAUCUGUGCACCCAUUUCUUCUCCUUGUUAGCAACUGUGCAGACCACACAUUAAGCAAAUGCAAGUAAGAGUGAGUGAAGGCUGUGAUAAAGCAUGGAAAAAGAAAAAGGGGAAAAAAAAAAAAAAAAAAAAGUAUCAAAAGCUGUGAAUUUAAUUUCUGAUUCUUCAUUUUCUUACAUGUAUGGCUACGGGGGCAUCUCUGGAAGAAAUUGCCCUGUGCCCUCUAAUGAUGUGCAUAGCUCUCAAAGUGGCUUUGUUCACCAAGUUCCUCC